GCAAUAGGUCACAAUCUCCCCUGUGGGCAGAACCUAGGAAGAAGAGAAAAGUCACAUGAGCUAGAUUUAUUAAGGUCGUCUUCUGGGUUCUGUUAUUAUAAAGAGAAGUCUCCUUGUCCUUCCUGUGCAGAUACUCUGGCUAGUUUUCUCUUGUGGGUUGCAGUUUCUUCAGUGGUUCUUGGUCUGGAUUUAUUUUCAUUCAUUCUGCUUGGUGCUCAUUAUAAUUCCCACAUGUGCAGAGAACAGGACCAGGAGUGAGUUGCCUAAAGAGAGGCUAUUGUGAUUGAAAACCAAGUUCUGAGAUCAGCUCCACGCAUCACAACCUAAUUGCAUUUAUUCCUGUCCUAUUUAAUAAACUACUAUCUCUGGAAAUUAAGAUUAAGGCCAUAAUUUGUUUUUAGCUACAAAGAGAAAGCUGGCCUGCAAGGUGGGAAGACAGGAAAAAAUCUAAAGAGCUGUUGGCUUGGGGGCAUCAAGGAGCCUGGGAGAUAGGCCAUAGUCCUGGGUUGUUUUCCCAGCCACACACACAUGCCAAGACCCUCGAACAAAGACUAGCUGGUCAUCAGCUCCUCAUAGAUGGGGCAACCUCCACACUGAUUUGGUGAGCAAGAGCUAAGAGGAGAACCUGUGCUCAGUCAAUAAGGAAUGCCCUUACCAUCAGAUGCGUGCUUGCUUGAAAAGAAAAUUGAGAUAAGUUCAUAGUCAAGCUUUAUCGAGACAUACCAUUGACUUCUUUUGCUUCAGAACAUGAGCCCUCUCUGUCACUGACUGGCAGGCACUGCCCGUAUUUCUGAUCCUGACUCCUUUAGGAAGCCUAAAUGUGCUUGAUCUGAAGUGCUAUUCCCCUCAUUGACUGAGAUAGGACCUGCUCUAUCUCAUCAGGAAACCCGGACUGCAUUUUACAGCUUGAUGGUGUCAGCAUGUCUCAGCAAUAAAAACUGCUGUUCUCAAUGUCACCAAUCACAUGGACAUCACAAAUCACUUGCAAAGUCAACAGACUCUUGUCUGCCCGCACAGUCUUCAGAAAAUGUGUCCAGGUGAAUUCAAAGCAAGGCAUUCUAAUUAGAACAAUGUACAGAAGGAAAGAAGGUAUGAGAGUCUGAGGGGAGUUUGAGGAACAGAAAGUAGACAGGGCAUCUCUGAAUUGGGGACUCUGAUUGGCCCAGAAGGAAUCAACUACUAUGUCUGUGUGCAUAAGAACAGAGAUAGGCAAAGUUGACUGUAAGAAAUGGAACAUCCGGGCCACGCACAGUGGCUCACACCUGUAAUCCCAGCACUUUGGGAGGCUGAGG
rnacentral:lncRNA from 1 species